CCUACGGGAGGCAGCAGUGGGGAAUUUUGGACAAUGGGCGCAAGCCUGAUCCAGCAAUGCCGCGUGAGUGAAGAAGGCCUUCGGGUUGUAAAGCUCUUUUGUCAGGGAAGAAACGGUGGAGGCUAAUAUCCUUUGCUAAUGACGGUACCUGAAGAAUAAGCACCGGCUAACUACGUGCCAGCAGCCGCGGUAAUACGUAGGGUGCAAGCGUUAAUCGGAAUUACUGGGCGUAAAGCGUGCGCAGGCGGUUUUGUAAGUUUGUCGUGAAAUCCCCGGGCUCAACCUGGGAAUGGCGAUGAAGACUGCAAGGCUAGAAUCUGGCAGAGGGGGGUAGAAUUCCACGUGUAGCAGUGAAAUGCGUAGAGAUGUGGAGGAACACCGAUGGCGAAGGCAGCCCCCUGGGUCAAGAUUGACGCUCAUGCACGAAAGCGUGGGGAGCAAACAGGAUUAGAUACCCUGGUAGUCCACGCCCUAAACGAUGUCUACUAGUUGUCGGGUUUUAAUUAACUUGGUAACGCAGCUAACGCGUGAAGUAGACCGCCUGGGGAGUACGGUCGCAAGAUUAAAACUCAAAUGAAAUUGACGG
rnacentral:rRNA from 1 species